rnacentral:rRNA from 1 species
AUGCCUGCACAUUUGCCGCGAUCCCAGGCCGAGGGGUAUUGGCACCAAGCUUCUGUCAAAAAAAGUGUUGUGUUUGUGUGGUGCAACAGGGAGAGAGAGAGAAAGGAGAUGAUCAUCAUGCUAGUAUCAUACCUGAAUGUCACCCUCGCUGUAGGCUCGCCGGAGCCCGAAGGCGGCCUCGAAGUCGAGCCCUUGGAAGUCGAGGAAGUUGGGCCUCACCGCCGACCCGUUCAUCCAGUCGCCCGAGCUGAGGCACCCGGAGCUGACGCUCUUCUGGAGCGAGCACUCGCCGGUGCCGGCGGCAACUGUCGAUGA